rnacentral:rRNA from 1 species
CCAUACCGCGUGGGUGAAGAAGGCCUUCGGGUUGUAAAGCCCUUUUGUUGGGAAAGAAAUCCAGCUGGUUAAUACCCGGUUGGGAUGACGGUACCCAAAGAAUAAGCACCGGCUAACUUCGUGCCAGCAGCCGCGGUAAUACGAAGGGUGCAAGCGUUACUCGGAAUUACUGGGCGUAAAGCGUGCGUAGGUGGUCGUUUAAGUCCGUUGUGAAAGCCCUGGGCUCAACCUGGGAACUGCAGUGGAUACUGGGCGACUAGAGUGUGGUAGAGGGUAGCGGAAUUCCUGGUGUAGCAGUGAAAUGCGUAGAGAUCAGGAGGAACAUCCAUGGCGAAGGCAGCUACCUGGACCAACACUGACACUGAGGCACGAAAGCGUGGGGAGCAAACAGGAUUAGAUACCCUGGUAGUCCACGCCCUAAACGAUGCGAACUGGAUGUUGGGUGCAAUUUGGCACGCAGUAUCGAAGCUAACGCGUUAAGUUCGCCGCCUGGGGAGUACGGUCGCAAGACUGAAACUCAAAGGAAUUGACGGGGGCCCGCACAAGCGGUGGAGUAUGUGGUUUAAUUCGAUGCAACGCGAAGAACCUUACCUGGCCUUGACAUGUCGAGAACUUUCCAGAGAUGGAUUGGUGCCUUCGGGAACUCGAACACAGGUGCUGCA